AAUGGGGGCAACCCUGAUCCAGCCAUGCCGCGUGAGUGAAGAAGGCCUUCGGGUUGUAAAGCUCUUUCGGCCGGGAAAAAAUCGCCUGCUCUAAUAAAGUGGGUGGAUGAUGGUACCGGAACAAGAAGCACCGGCUAACUACGUGCCAGCAGCCGCGGUAAUACGUAGGGUGCGAGCGUUAAUCGGAAUUACUGGGCGUAAAGCGUGCGCAGGCGGUUUUGUAAGACAGGCGUGAAAUCCCCGGGCUCAACCUGGGAAUGGCGCUUGUGACUGCAAGACUAGAGUACGGCAGAGGGGGGUGGAAUUCCACGUGUAGCAGUGAAAUGCGUAGAGAUGUGGAGGAACACCGAUGGCGAAGGCAGCCCCCUGGGCCGAUACUGACGCUCAUGCACGAAAGCGUGGGGAGCAAA
rnacentral:rRNA from 1 species